AACGAACGCUGGCGGCAGGCCUAACACAUGCGAGUCGAGCGCCCCGCAAGGGGAGCGGCGGACGGGUGAGUAACGCGUGGGAAUAUGCCCUUUGCUACGGAAUAGUCUCGGGAAACUGGGGGUAAUACCGUAUACGCCCUUUGGGGGAAAGAUUUAUCGGCGAAGGAUUAGCCCGCGUUGGAUUAGGUAGUUGGUGGGGUAAUGGCCUACCAAGCCGACGAUCCAUAGCUGGUUUGAGAGGAUGAUCAGCCACACUGGGACUGAGACACGGCCCAGACUCCUACGGGAGGCAGCAGUGGGGAAUCUUAGACAAUGGGGGCAACCCUGAUCUAGCCAUGCCGCGUGGGUGAUGAAGGCCUUAGGGUUGUAAAGCUCUUUCAGCUGGGAAGAUAAUGACGGUACCAGCAGAAGAAGCCCCGGCUAACUCCGUG
rnacentral:rRNA from 1 species